rnacentral:rRNA from 1 species
UACGGAGGGUGCAAGCGUUAUCCGGAUUCACUGGGUUUAAAGGGUGCGUAGGCGGGUUGGUAAGUCCGUGGUGAAAUCUCCAAGCUUAACUUGGAAACUGCCGUGGAUACUAUCAAUCUUGAAUAUCGUGGAGGUAAGCGGAAUAUGUCAUGUAGCGGUGAAAUGCUUAGAUAUGACAUAGAACACCAAUUGCGUAGGCAGCUCACUACACGAUCAUUUGACGCUGAGGCACGAAAGCGUGGGGAGCAAACAGG